rnacentral:misc_RNA from 1 species
AACAAGGCGUACCUGCGGACCUGCGGAAGGAUCAUUAUAGAAUUGUUCGAAUUCCAUACGGACGAUUUUCUAAAAAUCCGUAUCCACACCGGUAGGGCUGGCCUGAGCAAUCAGUCGGCCCUUGCCGUAGGGUUCCUUUUCUUUUUCUUCGGGAAAAGAACUGGUUCCUGUCUGACCCAUGCCUAUAAUUUUUUAUUGUCUGAACUUUUAUAUAAUAUAUAUAAAAACUAAAACAACUUU